UUCCGGUUGAUCCUGCCGGACCUGACUGCUAUCGGAUUGAUACUAAGCCAUGCGAGUCAUUGUAGCAAUACAAGGCAGACGGCUCAGUAACGCGUAGUCAACCUAACCUAUGGACGGGAAUAACCUCGGGAAACUGAGAAUAAUGCCCGAUAGAACACUAUACCUGGAAUGGUUUGUGUUCCAAAUGAUUUAUCGCCGUAGGAUGGGACUGCGGCCUAUCAGUUUGUUGGUGAGGUAAUGGCCCACCAAGACUAUUACAGGUACGGGCUCUGAGAGGAGUAGCCCGGAGAUGGGUACUGAGACACGGACCCAGGCCCUAUGGGGCGCAGCAGGCGAGAAAACUUUGCAAUGUGCGAAAGCACGACAAGGUUAAUCCGAGUGGUUUGUGCUAAACGAACCUUUUGUCGGUCCUAGAAACACCGAUGAAUAAGGGGUGGGCAAGUUCUGGUGUCAGCCGCCGCGGUAACACCAGCCCCUCGAGUGGUGGGGAUGAUUAUUUGGCCUAAAGCGUCCGUAGCCGGCGCUGUAAGUUUUCGUUAAAUCCGUACGCUCAACGUCAGGACUGCGGGAAUACUGCAGCGCUAGGAGUGGGAGAGGUAGACGGUACUCGGG
rnacentral:rRNA from 1 species